rnacentral:rRNA from 1 species
CGCGAGGUCAAGCCAAUCCCAUAAAACCAUUCUCAGUUCGGAUUGUAGGCUGCAACUCGCCUACAUGAAGCUGGAAUCGCUAGUAAUCGCGGAUCAGCAUGCCGCGGUGAAUACGUUCCCGGGCCUUGUACACACCGCCCGUCACACCACGAGAGUUUGUAACACCCGAAGUCGGUGGAGUAACCGUAAGGAGCUAGCCGCCUAAGGUGGGACAGAUGAUUGGGGUGAAGUCGUAACAAGGUAGCCGUAUCGGAAGGUGCGGCUGGAUCACCUCCUUUCUAAGGA